UACGUAGGGUGCGAGCGUUGUCCGGAAUUACUGGGCGUAAAGGGUUUGUAGGUGGCCUGCUAAGUCAGACGUGAAAUCCCUCAGCUUAACUGGGGAACUGCGUCUGAUACUGGCGGGCUUGAGGACAGGAGAGGGACGCGGAAUUCCAGGUGUAGCGGUGAAAUGCGUAGAUAUCUGGAGGAAUACCGGUGGCGAAGGCGGCAUCCUGGACCGAGAUUGACGCUGAUGAGCGAAAGCUAGGGGAGCAAACGGG
rnacentral:rRNA from 1 species